AACGAACGCUGGCGGCAUGCCUAACACAUGCCAGUCGAACGAGACCUCCGGGUCUAGUGGCGCACGGGUGCGUAACGCGUGGGAACCUGCCCUUAGGCUCGGAAUAACACUCCGAAAGGGGUGCUAAUACCGGAUAAUGUCCUCGGAUCAAAGAUUUAUCGCCUUUGGAUGGGCCCGCGUUGGAUUAGCCUGUUGGUAGGGUAAAAGCCUACCAAGGCGACGCUCGAUAGCUGGUCUGAGAGGAUGAUCAGCCACACUGGGACUGAGACACGGCCCAGACUCCUACGGGAGGCAGCAGUGGGGAAUAUUGGACAAUGGGCGAAAGCCUGAUCCAGCAAUGCCGCGUGAGUGAUGAAGGCCUUAGGGUUGUAAAGCUCUUUUACCCGGGAUGAUAAUGACAGUACCGGGAGAAUAAGCUCCGGCUAACUCCGUG
rnacentral:rRNA from 1 species